GGAAAACCAGGAGGUAAUGGGUACCUGUGCUCCAGCUGACUCAUUUUCAGUCUGAUGUAACCAUCCACACUGCCAUGAAUUCUCAGAAGAUCCCUGAGAAUCUGUGCGGUCAGGACACUUAUUGGGAAGGUGCAGACCACAGGAUUACCAUGAGGCGUUGAUCAGAAGCC